rnacentral:ncRNA from 2 species
AAAAUAAUAGGUGAUGGAGUUCACCUUUAACCGCCUUUAGGCUAAUGACUCCUGUCAGUUG